rnacentral:lncRNA from 1 species
AAAUUGAUGAGGUUGACUGCUCAGGAGGAGCUAAUUGCAGAAAUGGAAAAACUGGAGCUGGAAGUGAAGUAUCCUAUGGAGAUUGAUGAGAAAAUAUUGCAUAUGCAAUCUGGUACAACUCUACUAGAUAAAGUAAAGGAGGCUCAGCUUCAGGACAAAGAAUGUAAAAAGGUGACAAAGAAGAUAUCUGAAGGAACUGAACCGAGAUUUAAGAUGGAUAAGGAAGGUAUACUGAGAUUUGAAAGUAAAAUUUGGGUUCCAC